GCAUGCAAAAUACCAUCAUGUGGAAAAAUAUAUAGGUCCAGACAUACCUAUUUAAAGCACAAGAAAGACCAUCGAAUUGCAGCAAAAAACAACACACAGAGAUUGCUUCAAGCAAUACAAGGUUCUUUAAGCUGUCCACUAUGUGGAGCUCAUUUUUCCCGCAGAGGGCAUUUGUACGACCACAUUCUGUAUGUUCACGAGAAGUACCGACCACAUGGUUGUGACAUGUGUGAUCAGCAGUAUACCCGACCCUCAGAACUGCAGAAACAUAUUUAGAAAUGCCACGCAGGUGGGGUUGGGUACCAAAGGACAAAGGAAACUGAGAAAGUUGAACAAGGAAGCAGUAUGUAUGCCUGGGAAUGAUCUAGAGCAUGGCAGACGGAUUGGCUGUUAGGACUGCUGGGAAGCGCAUCUCAGCACAGGGCUGAUACUGAGGCUGCCACGGAUUGGCUGUUAGGACUGCUGGGAAGCGCAUCUCAGCACAGGGCUGAUACUGAGGCUGCCACGGAUUGGCUGUUAGGACUGCUGGGAAGCGCAUCUCAGCACAGGGCUGAUACUGAGGCUGCCACGGAUUGGCUGUUAGGACUGCUGGGAAGCACAUCUCAGCACAGGGCUGAUACUGAGGCUGAAGUCUGCUGAAUUAUGUUACGUUAACAUAUUGAAUUAUGUACCGCUUUGUACUUUUCCAUAAACUGACCAAUUGAAAAAUGUGACAUUUCGAAAUCUAACUGAAAUACUCUACUACUGUUCUGCCGUCCUGUAGACUUUGGCGAUUUCAUUUUGUAGAUUCUUUGUUUAGAUUCUGUUAAAUAAAAGAUCUACAUUUUAUGUUCAUAUCAUUAUUGAUUAAUCCUAAAAUUCCAGGUGAUGCAAAACUUUUGGUCAGAGCUGUAUGUAAAAUCGCUUCAUCCUAAAAAAAAGAACAUUUUUAAUUCAACCUUCAAUGUCUGUCUAAAUCACCCUGCAUGUGACUCUUCUAAGUGUUUUAUUGACAGCAGACAAUCCUUUUUGCAAUAAUAACCUGAUGAAAACAAUGUCCAAUAUUUAGCUCUCAGUAUUGCUGUAAAGCCCUACGUGUUCCACAGGCAAGGUUGAAAACCAAAGGAAAAAAGCUGCCGGGAGAAAAGAGCAAAGAAAAAAGAAGAAAAUCCAAAUUGUGCUGCCUAGGAAACAAUCCAACCCCACUGCACCUUCCAGUGAGAUUAAAAAUGAGAACUCAGUGAGCCUGAUGAAACGCAGUGCAGUUUUACAGAGGAAUUCGAUGCUCAUUGCAUGUUUUGAUUAAAUCUCCAAUGAAAAUUCAGAGCACAUGCUGUCUUCUAAAGAAGAUUAUGAUGGCUAUUCUGAGCAGCUGAUCUAUUUAAGUGAUGCUUGCAAUGGGAGUUCUGUGCAAAUGCCCGGCAACAAUGACAUUCUUAAUGGGAGUUCUGUGCACACGCCUGGCAACAAUGACAUUAUUAAUGGGAGUUCUGUGCACGCUCCUUGCUCUAAUGACAUUGUGAUUGAGAAUUCUACCUACAUGAAUCAACUCUCCCAACUUGAUGAUUCAGAUGGUUUGUCAAUGAUCCAGAUCAGUAAUGUGACCUCCCUGGUGAUGUCUCAAGCGGAUUUCCUUCAGACCCCAGGUACAGAUGAAGUCAUUGAAGGGGGCAGCGUGGCGAGUCCUGUGUGUUCAGCAAGAUCUCAGCAGACAAAGCCGCAUGCAAGAAAGUAUAUCUGUGGGGUAUGUGGACAGGAACACAGGUUAUAUUCCAGUCUCCUGAAACACAAACGGGUGCACUCAGGUAGAAGGCGAGUUUUUUGUUUGCUCUGCGGGAGAAGCUUCUUGCAGCCAAAGGACCUUGACAGGCACAUUGCCUGUGUUCACUCUCAAAGCUUCAGGUUCAGAUGCACGCACUGUGAGAUGGGCUUCAGUCGGCGUGUGCUGUUUUGUAAGCACGUUCUCCUGGCACACUGUGAUUUAGAAAGCCUGAAGUGUCACAUAUGCAAAAAGAAAUACAAAACUGCACAUCACCUUCAGGGUCAUAUCCAAAAGCAUCACAGCGACUGUAAGCAACUCUGAUUGCAUUCUUCUUCAAGGGUCUGGUCACCGGCAUGUACCCAGCGACUUCACGUUGUUAAUGCAGUCAUUGCACAGGCAGAAGAGACUGAACUGAUGUUGCCCAUGCAAAUGUCUGUUUACAUUUACAUCUAUGCAAAACCUACAAGCGCAAGUACCAUCAGCACAAGCUAAGACGAUGCUCGAGUCAGGUUUGGAAGUGCAGUAUCAGCAGCACAAGCUAAGACGAUGCUCGAGUCAGGUUUGGAAGUGCGGUAUCAGCAGCACAAGCUAAGACGAUGCUCGAGUCAGGUUUGGAAGUGCGGUAUCAGCAGCACAAGCUAAGACGAUGCUCGAGUCAGGUUUGGAAGUGCAGUAUCAGCAGCACAAGCUAAGAUGAUGCUCAAAUCAGUUUGGAAGUGUAACCUGUGUGUUUGGUAGCGUAGCUCUCCCCCACAGUGCACACAUGGUGAUAUCACAUCCACAUUCAAUCAGUUGGGUCUGUGGCUUUGCCUGGAUCAUCACACUUUUAGCAAUGUAUCAAACUCCCAGUCUGCUUUCGUUUGCUCACACCUCACACAGCUGAGCUUCAAACCCUCAGUAAGAAUGCGCUGUGCAAACGAUUGUUCAGCAGAAGCAGCGUGUGUAAAUGAAGAGGCCUUUGUCGAACUUUGUGGGUUAGCAAAAGGUUCGGAUCAGAGUUUAUUUCUCAGGGGAACAAAUGAGUUUUGUGUACAGCCGCUUUAUUUUUUAUCAUGUACUCGAAUGUCUUUAAAUAAUGUACAAAAUAGAGAAGUUAUUUUUCUUCUACACGUCUAAAUAAUAACUAAU